CUAAAUAUAUUAAAUAUUGAACCUAAUAUUCUUAUGGUUCCGACUUGCAGGAAACCUUAAGAAUUUCAGGGAAGAGUAUGCAUAGACAUGCGGACAUACGGAAAUGGCUCUAUCGACUCGAAGGUCUAUGGGGCUGCUUCCUGCAUGGCAAACAUCUGGCUAAAAUCAUUAUACCCUCUGCAAGAGUGUACAAACGAUCAGCAGCAGCCCCCAACCAGAAGAGGAAGAAGCAGAAGAAGUAACGACGACGUCGUUAAACAAAAGCAAAAAAAAACAAACACAAAAACAAAAACAGAAAAAAAAACGAUGCAUGCAAAAUGAAUGCGGACAUCAGAGAGACGGCGAGAGAGUGCGAAUACGGCUAAUGAAUGCGAAAUGGAACACAGAUACAAGGAAUGCAAACAAUGCAGGCACGGGGUCGCACAGGGGAUACCCUAACCGAGAGCUGGUGUUGUGCCAGGAGGGAUGCAAGGGACUAUAGGAAAACAGAGUACUUACGGUAUGUUCUUGCAAAGCCCACCCCAUGCAUGCCGCGUCAAUGUGCUCAAACGCGGUCAAAAACGCAGCAUACCUUGGGACGCAGGUAAUCUCCGCUGCCAUACAUAUCUUUAAUGAGUGCCAGCGAGUGUUCAUUCGAAAAGAAACGCUCAAUGCUGCGCCGACGCCAACGCCAACGCCAACGCAACCGGCAGGGGCAUCUCUUCACUGUUUGCCAGCGGCUUUGUGUGUGUGUGUGUGUGUGUGUAAGGGAUGGCGCGAAAUUUAAAAAAGCUGCGCUUCAAUCGCCGAUGGGCCUCGGGAUCGGGACUUGGACUUUUGCGACUGGAUUUUGUUGUUGGACGUGAUUUGUUUACGAAUCUUAACUAAAUAUGUACACACAGUGCAUUAAAUUACCACGAAAGGCGUCGUCUGUUCCAAUAUUGUGCAUUCACAAAUACGCCGGCAUACAGAAAAUCACAGCUCUGUGUACUAUGUGCACUGUGCAGGGCCCUGGGCCAGGGACAGGGACGGGCACUGGCACUGGCACUGGCACCCAGGCCAAAGCCAAAGCGCGUCAUAAUGCGAAAUGAUCGGAAAUAUCAGUGCAACAGUAUAACCGUUACGCUUCUGUGGCAGCAGCCACAAUGACUCACAGUACUCACAAAUGCACUCGUACUCGACCACACAAUCAUUUAAACCGGAUGGAAUUACAUACAUUGGAGUGUUGGGGAUUUCCAACAAAUCAAAUAAAUCAAAUAUUUUAAAAUAUUUAUCUUAAGCAUCUUAGCAUGGCCAAUGAACUGUAGACUUGAUGAAUUGGAAGUAGGAAGGAAUUCCACUCAUAAAUAAGCGGAGAUUCAAAGAGGUAACAACCAUUCAAUGGGACCAUUCGUUGGAAACAUUCAUUGACUGCCGUAAUACACGUAAACGAACACAAAUGCUUAUACAAAUUUGUAUAUAUGUAUUUACUCCACGAUUCGCUUGCAUUCAGUUGACGGCUGAGAAUGAAUCAUUCGAACAGAACGUCUAGAAACAGAUUUCCAAAUGGCAUUUGUAUACAUUUUUCUGGUGUAAUGAGCUCUCCCUCUACCACAUGGACACAGACUGAUUCUGAGAAAUAACAAUAGACUUAUUACACGCCGAAGGUUAAUCAUUCAAUGAUCAUAAUCAUUCUGGAUGGCUGCAGUUCCAAUUAGCAUGCGGGCUCGAUCUUCGAUGGCCAUCUCGGCUGAUGGCCUGAUGGGCUGAUGGCCUGGUCUGUAAGCUCGGUUUCGUUUGGCAAACAUUUCCGCAGAUCAAUUAUGAGUGGACUGUUAACGAACAAACACACACAGAAGAUAUGUAAAUAUCGGCGGUGGCUUCGUGACAAACUAGGAAGUUGAGCAAACCGAGACACACAGAAAAACUAGUUGCUAAAUUAGUGCAAAUCAUUUGCAUUGAUUAAACUUAAUUCAUAUUGGAAUGCCCAUGUAUUUGCUUUGGCCACUCGGCAGAUCUUCUCUUUUUUGGGGCAUUAGCAUUCGACGAUGACGUGAUGCCUAGACCCAGACACUCUGGGCACACUCCGGAGCCCUGCACCUGUCGCCAGAUUGGCCAAGUCUUCGUCAUAGGCCGAUCGUCCCGUCCACAAGCCACAGUUAGAAAAACGAGUUUCCAGUUUUAUUGUUUGAAAGACACCGAUAUUCAGAUAUUCAGUUUCCACUUUUUUGACCAUCUCCGCAUGCAUAUUCAUCGUAUGCCUUGUCCGUAUAUAUUUAUACGUGUGUGUAUAAUUAUAAUAAUAAUCGUUAUGGUUAUGCAUUAAUUGAAUUAGUUAUACCAUGAUUGUCACAUUAACCAAGUGUUUGCAUUUGGGAAAGUUUUCCUGGACGAGCCUCUCUCGGAUCGGAUGGUUGGUAUAAGUCCAUAUCCAUCACGGCGUCUGUUGCCUUUCGCUUUGUUCCGAACCGCCGAGAGCCUCUAUAUGGACAGUGCAGAUACAUAUUGUAUUUUCGCUAUUGGCGUUACACAAAUGUCGCCUGAUCUGUUGCCUGACACAUUUUCCACUCACUCCGAGUCCGAUUCCGAGUGCGUGUCUGUGUGUGCCGCAGCACUUAGAGAGAAAUGUAUGUGAAAAGUUUCGCUGAGGAGAAAGGCGAGGAGGAGGAUGGGAGGGAGGUCUCGGGUUAAACAUUUUUGAAAAGCAUUUUCCGUUGUCAGUUUUUUGUUCGUCGAGACAAAAAAAAUAUAGAUGUAUAUGCAUAUGUAUGUCUUGUACAUAGAAUGCUCGUAAUAUGCGUGAUUUGGUCCGCCAUGUGAACUGUUUUUUUGGUUUUGGUUUUGGUUUUGGUACCGAUCCCAAUCAAAGCUCACAUCGCGUAAGGAUGAAAUUCAAAACCCGAAAGGAGGAAAACAAAGGCCAGCGGAAUUCGGCAUUACCUGUAGAAGAAGUACUCCGGUAGUCCCGAAAAAACGCACAACAAAUAAAAUAAUGCUGAAAAGGACAAACUUUCAUUCAAAGCAAACAAUAAUCAAAGGCAUAAUGAAUGCAAAACAAAACAAAGCAAAGCAAAACAAAAAGAGAACCCAGCAAGAUGAGAUGAAGAAUAAGGAGCGAAGCGGAGCGGAAUAAAGGUGGUUGAACCCCGGCCCCGGGAGGAGGAGCUUUGCUGUGUCCCGUCCCGUACCGUACCGUCUUUGUCCUGUCCUGUCCUUGCCAGCGUAGGUAACCAAAAGUUCAAUUUUUCGUGUACAGUCCCGCCAAAGGGUUUCCGUGUCUCAGACUUGCCGUCGUUCCUCUCUAGUCUCUCAUUAACUCAACUCCUUGUCUGAACGCCACUUGACUAAGUGACGUAGCAAAUAUUUUGUGUGUCAGAGCCAUUAAUUUGCCUUUGGCUGGAAAUUUAUACGUAUGGAUUGAUAUUUGAAGUGAAUUCUACGAGUAUCAGUAGAUUAGUAAAGUGCCAGACAGAGCCUAUCACAUUCCAGUCCAGUUCCAUUUCCAUUUCGUUCCCAAGGCGGGAGGGAGAAUGAAACGCGAUCUAUGCACCGGAGGAGGAAGCUCUGCCGCUUUUAUCUUACGAGUGUGUGCACGCCGUACGCCGAAUGCCGUACGCUCAGUUUCAACACAUGCCGGGUACGGCUCCCGCUCCGUGUCCGGGGGCUGACCACUUGUGUGUGUGGGGGCAGGCCAGACUUAUCGCACCUUCGAUCUGAAGUGUAAAUACAACCGAACCGAACCGAACUGAACCGAAACGAAAGGAAGCCCCCUCCAAUGGUGCCCACCAAUGUUUAUGGUAAUGGCAAUAAAAUAUAUGAAAUUAAAUUUAAAAUAGUUGAC
rnacentral:sRNA from 1 species